GAACUUCUUGCCAUGUUUACAAUACAUGUGGUGUUCUUACCCAUAUGUAACCAGGAAACAUCUCCUUGGCAGUUCUAGGAAGAUGACAAUAGUCUAGAAAGAAGGAGAUUAACUGGUAAAAUCCUCACCCUCCAAUCCGUUUUCCAAGUUAAAAAAAUCCAUUUGAGAAAAGAACCAAAAAGAUACCCUGAAGGAGGCUGUUCUUUGAAUACCAGGGUGUUGGGACAAACCUGACUGGAUACCAGGUGACCACUACUCAUCUCCUCAGCUGGACAGAGAAGAGAGAGAAUAUAAUGAAAGGCUCAUGGGUCAAGAUAAG